UCCUCAUCUAUGAAUUAUAUAUAUUGUGUAAUAAAGAUAUGGACUAACUCCAAGUAACAUCUCUAACAAACUUCUACACUUUUACAUGAUGUGGAAAACAUAUCAAUGCUUUUGCCAAAAUCACUGCCAAGAAACCUAGAUGUCUGGGCAAAAGUGACAAAAAAUAGCCAGAGGCAGAACCAAGUCUGCUCAUAAAUAUCAUUAAUAUUUGUAAUGAAUGUCUAAAGAGUAUUUUUGGACCAAAA